CCUUCGAUAGCUCAGUUGGUAGAGCGGAGGACUGUAGAGUUCAAACAUGAGACAUCCUUAGGUCGCUGGUUCAAAUCCGGCUCGAAGGA
rnacentral:tRNA from 1 species